rnacentral:lncRNA from 1 species
UGUUGGCGAGCUCUCUCCGCAAGUCAAUGAUUUCAGACAUAUUGAUGCCAGUGCUUCUGCUUUUCAUAUCCGGAUGUUCUCAUCAAAUUCGGAUGACCUCUCUGAUGAUGAUUAGGGUUUUCUCGCAAUUGGUUGAGUCCUACGGUAGAUAACUAAGUGAAAAUGGUACAUACCGUCCUUAGGUGUUUGUUAAUUCCACUUCUGUUCAUGUAUCAUAUGAAGAUUGAUUAUUUUGUUUUCAUAA